CUCUUCCGCUCACGUGAGUCCUGCGUGUGGCCCGUUAGCUGCAGUCGGUGGGUCGCGUCCGUCUUCCCAGGAGCUUCCUGCCGCACAGCUGGAGCCCAGCUGUGAGGUGCUCUUUGCUGUCUCUCCUUUGAAGCCUGGCUUGGGAAAUCGAGGGAGGGAGGGAGCCUGUGCUCUUUUCCGUGCUGAGGUGGGAGGAGAGGAAGCUCCUGAGGAGGACAGAGGGGAGCUGCCUUAGCCAUUCCGGCAUGUUUUCCCGAAAGCACGCUUCUCCCGUUGGAGCCGACGGAGGUGACUCACCAGAGCAGAUCACACCAACAUCUUCAGCAACUCCUGCUGACAGCGCCUGAGAAUGGGAGGUCUUACAGAGCACUAGCCGAGUCUCAUUUCCAUCACACUGGACACUUCUUAAGCCCACAGGACCGAUGCCUCGUUCAGACCUUGGAAGUCGUCAUCUAGGACUCUGCCCCAUAUGCCAUCAAGGGAGAUUUCAACACGCCCAUCACAGCGGCUCUGACCAUCUGAGAGUCUGAGUGAUUCAGCAAGACCUGGGCUCAAAAGUUCAGCCCUCUGUGUUCAGAUGCUUCAGACUGUACCCUGGUGGAUGCACUCAUAUUGUCUCACCAUCUGGACCCAGCUCGUUCUCUCCUCAGGAGCAGCCCUUCCCUUGCUCUUGCCUGGCACAAAGAGGGUUUUAUAGAGAGUGAGCAGCCUUGUGGUGUCCUGAGCAGGCAGUGUCCCCACCAGACAGAUGCAGCCCUGAGAAACCUGUGUGAUGGAAAGAAGGAGAGAAGGAGGAGAAAACAAGAAAAUCAGUAUUGAAUGUUGAUUAUGCUGGUCUAAUUUAAUUUCUCUCGUGCAUUCAUGGGCAAGACACGUGGAAUGCACAUCUCUGAAGACCAGUAACUUCUAAAUAGCUGUUGUGGCAAUAUCUGUAUGCUGCUGGCAAGAGAAAAAUGAGAGGAAAAAACAGCUUAUGGGAAUGUUUGUGUUUUUAGUACAUGAAAAUAUAAAAUCUUGAACAAGUGCUCAGAAAGCCCUAGAACAAGGGGAAUUUUGAACAUUUGCAACUUGUUUGAACAACAUUAAUCCACAAAUAAAUAAAUAAACACAUAAGCAUUUACAAGUGUAUGUCCUCAAGUCUUCACUAUUCAAAGGAAUAGAAGACUGAAGUGCCUCAAAAAGAAGAAAACCUGUAUUAUACAAAUAUCAAGGGAUUUCCAGAAGAAUAUAGAGCAGAGUCAACUACGAAACGCCUCUAUAGUGUGAACUGGAAGUCUACAGGUUUAUUAGUUCAAGUUCAGCACUGCUGAUCCCCAUAGGCUUUGUUGAACACCUUUGCACAUCACUUCAUGAGCUUCAUAUUUCUGGAGAUCUUGUUCAGGCAAGGCAUACUACCUGAGAGUUAGCUGUGCAGACCCUGAGUGAAGCCCAUCUCAGUUUUGAUCGAAUGCGGCACAGCAGCUUGUGAGAGAAACGACCUGUCCUGAAAACAGCAUUGCACUGCUUUUCUUCUGUGGCAUUGCACAUUGUAGUAGUAGACUUACUUCCACUCAGAUGGGGCUACAUGUAGCCAGCUCAGUGUCUAUGUCUCACCUGGUGUUUGUUUUUUUGUUUGUUUGUUUUUAACUCCACUCAAUAACAUUUUUGAAGUUCUAUAGGUCAGCAUAAAACACUGUUUUUUUCUUUGGUGUUUGCAUUUUAUUCAGCUGCACACCACCUCUAUUAGCAGUGAAGUACUUCAUAUCAUAACAGUUCCACCACUGUUCAUGGGUGAGAUAUUUAUUUUAUAUGCUUUUCUUCUCAGCAGAUGCAAUAUGGAAAUAGUAAUGAAUUUGUUUUUGUGCAGUACAGACAAUCACCACAAUGAAUUUAUAGCUGUGCAGGUGCAUGGAAAAUGUUGUUCACAUGAGCACCAACGGUGCAGUCAGGGGAAAUCUCAAGUUUAUCAAGAGUGACUCCACAGAGUGUGGGAGAGUUUGUGGCUUUGAAUCAAAGGAGGGGCUAGUAAGGCUGAUCUUGUGGUGGGAGUUUGUUACAAACCACCCAUUAAGGUGAGGAAUUGGGUGAAAUCUUCUAUAAACAAAAAAAGAAAAUCUCCAAAUCACACAUCUUUAUGCUGUGAUUGGCAAAACUACUGAGCACAUAAUGUGUUUAGUUUUCAGUCCCUCACUUCAAGGAUAUUGGUUUUCACAAGCAUGUGCAAGGAAGAGCAAUGAAGUUGGUGAAGGGAAUGGAAGAUUUAUGAGGAGCAAUUAAGGGAACUAAGAUUGUUUAGUCUGGAGAAAAAGAGGAUGAGGGGAGACCUCAUUGCUUUCUACAACUAAAAGUUGUCUCUUUUAUCAUAUGACUAGUGAUAUGACACAAAGGAAUGAGCUAAAGUUGUGGCAGGGGAAGUUUAGGCUGAAAAUUAGGAAGAAUUUCUUCACAGAGAGUGUGGAGAACCAUUGGAAUGGGCUGCCCAGGGAAAUGGUGUAGUCCUCAUCCUUGCAUAUAUUUAAGAAACACAGAUAUGACAUCUAUUUGGUAGCAAGGAGGAACUUGCUUGGUUGGGGUUACAAAAAUCUUUGGUAGCCUUUAGUCACGCUGAAAUAGUGGAUUUCCAAAUAUUAAAUGGGGUGAGAAAGAAGAAAAAGUGCAGAGCAAUCAGAGUUCAGGAGAAAGAAUUUGACCUAAAUAAACCCAUGGGAUGCAUUGUGGUUUAUCUAAACUGACCAAUUUUCUUUCAAGUCUGCUCUCUCUAAAAAGAGACCAUUUUCAAAAGGUUAUAGAGAUUAUAUUCCUAGCAAUAGGAAAAAGGCAGAUGUUGCACUCAUCUUCAGAAAAGGAUGAAAAGACGAUCUGGAGAACUAAACUACAGGCUGGUCAGAGAAAAUCAUGGGGUGAGUAUUCCAGGAGCAUAUUUCUAAGCAGGUGAAGUGAGAGAUGAGCAUGUGAACAAGGAGAGUCAGCAUGGAUUUUCCAAGAGUAAACCAUGCCUAUGUGACCUGAUUGCUUUCUCUGAAAAAAGGACUGAUUUGUGAAUGAUGGGAUAAGAGCAGUACAUACCAUUCACCUCAAAUUUAACAAGGUCUUUGAAACUGUCUUGCACAAUUUUUGUGUUGUGUAAUAGUCUCAAUGAGUGAAUUACUAGAUGGGCAAAAAGCUCAUCAGUCAGGCUCAGAUUGUAGUUCUUAGUGAAUUGCACUCAACCUGGAGGCUGGCAACAAGUGGAUUACCACUGUUGUCUUCGCUGAGAUCUGUUCCGUUCUGUAUCUUCAUCAGCAUCCUGGAGAGCUUGAUGGAGUAAACUUUUACUGAGCUGAGAUAACCUCAAGGGCAGAGCUGCCAUUCUGGUGAACACAGAAGGAAGUAAUAAGUUGACAGGAACCUUAUGAAAGUCAAAAAGAAUGAAUGUGAAGUCUUGAAGAGAGGAAAGAACCUCUUGCAGUGCUUCAGGGAACAAAACCAAGCACAUAUUGCAAGCAAAAACACUGAGCAUACACUGGAUUUCUUUGCCAUUCCAGAAAUCCCUAUCUUAGCUUACAGGAAGAUCUAAAGGAGGAGGAUGCUUGGAUAGCAUAAUACAGAAUGUUCUUGCUUCCCCAUCUACACCCUCUCUUUAGCUUCCUUUCCUGGCCAAAAGCAAGUUGAUUAUUGCUCUCAUGUUGACUGCAAGAGGCAUGGUAGAAAGAAAUGGUGUUUCUAUUUCUGUUCUGUGUGAUUUACUAUGUUUAUUUCUGUUGUAUAUCAUUGCUGUGCAAAGGCAAAGCAGACACACACUUGUGGUCAGCAGAAGUUUUAAUGGUUAUUUGGGUUAUACUUAUUUGGGUUCAGAGGCCAUGGAGGAAGUGUUACCUCUGUGCUGACACAUUACUAGACUAUCCAUUUAGGACAAAGAUUGAUCUCAGUUCCUUUGUAUUGUGGGAAUUGCUCUAUU